CCAACCCAGGGCUCGAACCCACCAACUGUGAGAUCAUGACCUAAGCGAAAGUCAGACGCCCAACCGACUGAGUCACCCAGGCACCCCUCAUCACUUUAUUUUCAGCAGUAGUUAUGUUAUAAUCCAACAUUACUGUAUUAUAAAACAUAAUUAUAAAGUAUACUGGGCUUCCCAAGACCUAUCCCUUUAUAAAAUGUGAAGCAAGUCUUAUGAAUCUUAUCUUUUACCUCUUUCUAUUAAAGCGCAUCUGUCAGCCUUUGAAAAUUCUCACACUGCACAUGUUCUGUAGAAGCCUCCAGGCAGUGAUGUGUGAACAUUCAUCUUCAUUCUUUUUCUCUCUGUUGUUUCCUCUUUGGGGGCUGAGGUAUCUUAGUCUGCAAGGCAUUUCACACACCAUAUGCCAGGUUUGCAUUCCCCUGCAGAGUAGCCGGGGAAAGAAACCGUCAGGCCAGUAUCACAGCUCACCACUCAUUUCAGUGAUGGCACCUGAGCCCCUUAAAGUGGAGCAGACCAGACCUAGAGGUUUUGCUGUAAGGCCUGCAGUAGAGGAAAAAUAGUUGAAUGGCUUUCUGAUUAAUUAGGUUGGUUAAUAUUUCUGUCUUCUCAGCUACCACAUUUGGACAAUUGAGAAAAUUGAGUAUGUCUUAAAAGUAUUUAAUGCCUUUUUAAGUUUAAUCUCUAUACCCAAUGUGGGGCUUGAACUCACAGCUGAGAGCAAGAGUUGCAUGCUCUUCUGACUGAGCAAGCCAGGUGCCCCUGUCUUAAAAGUAUUUUUAAACAAUCCUGUUGGCAUGGAAACGGAGCUAAAGAAGAAACGUGUGACACUAAGGGUCAAGGCAGAGCUAAAAAGAGGGUAUAAUAAUCAUACACUAGAGAAAGAACUAGAAUUUUACUAAACUGAGUGUUGGCCAGUUGACGUCUGUGGAUAUUUUCAAGUUGUCUCUUACCCAUAUUCUGCUGUCAUUCCUGGACCUCAAGCCUCUGCCAGGAAUUGGAUGGUCCUCUGACUGAAUUUGAAACACCUACAUUAAAUAUUUUUAUGGUGAGGUAUGGGCAAUAUGUAUAAUUUCUUGAUGUUUUAUAAUAACUUACGUGAAAAACUUUUGCUGUACCUACAAAGAGAUUUGGUAGGAAGCGCCCCCACUGAACUCUUAACUAUAUUUCCUCUAGAUGGAUCUAGAGAGCCCAUACAACCCACACUGUCUUCCUGUGUAUUCUCCUUUUGCAUUGGUCCAGGGGAAAGGAAGUUGCAAGGAAAUAUAGUAUUGAGUUUAGAGCAGUGUUCAGAAUGACAGGAUCUAGAAUUUCAUCUCAGAGUUCUUAGUAGAUAUCAGUGCUGUGAUGAGAACAGCCUCAGUUAUAUACAUCCUGUUUCGGUCUUCAGUGGAUGUUUGUGAUAAUUACCAAAGAAUCCUAAAGUUUCAGGGUUUGUACAGAUUUUAGAGGUCAUCUGGUCCAACCCUGUUUGAGUUUCAUGUGAACAUUUAAAUAGCAUAAAGUCAUGAAAAGUAAAGCCAGAGGAGAGGCAGCAUGUGAGGUUCAGCACAAAGACUCAAUGAAAGACUGAGUACACAGCAGUAGAGAAGGGAAGUGAUGGAGUCUGUAUGGAAAAGUAACGACUAAGGAUAGAAUUCUAAAGGUGGAAGCAGCGUAGAGAUCAAUGUUUUCCAAAGCAUGUUCUGCAAAUGUCAACAGAUGUUUUUUUCAGAAAAUACGUUUGGGAAAUGCCAAAUUUAAAAAAAUCCUUUACAGCAAGACUCUAGGAGUCUUUGAUACACUAAAUCCAGUAAGAAUCUAUCUGGUACUGUUGGGGAUCAACCAGGGUAGGGAAGUUUUCCCAAACUUAUUCAACCAGACUUUUUUUUUUUUUAAUUGGAAUCUACUUUGAGAAAUGCUGAUCACAUUUUGUUACUUCAUUUUACAGAGAUUUGCCCCUUCAUGUGAUUUCUUCAUUUGACAGGUGACGACUCCCACCCCAUAAGAGCACGUGGCCAGCCAAUGACAGAGUCAGAAUUAGAACCUAGUCCCCACCCCUGCACCCCCCACCCCAACCCAUUCCCAGUACUGCCUGUUUCCUUCCCCUAGUAGAUCAGAACUUCUGAAGAGCAGAAACUUUCUCUCUUAGUUUUUGUGCAUCCUUCCCACCCCACCCAGUCCUCUUGUGUAAUCUGAAGCUUUACUGGCUGCACGCUCUUGACAAGUGGCUCUGGACAUGGGUUCCCCAGUUGGUCUCCUUUGUUUCCAAGGCACUCAUUAAAGAGUGUCCUACCGGAUCAGGACAGAGGGCCUCUCAGGUCUCAGACUCAACACACUCAAGAAAAAGAAAAACCAAAGGACGAAAAAAUUAAAUAAAAGAAAAAAAGGAUACUCCGGAAUCUUUUAUUCGUUUUCCAUUUUGGUGACAAAUGCAACCUUGGUAGGGAAGUUGCGUAGCGUCAAAUAACAUUUGAUAUUCCUUUCACUCCCUUCCUUAGUGUUUGUAUGUUGGCCUUUUAUCAAUUUAUGACAACUCCCCACCAAAAUGGUACCAACAUAGGUUAACUAAUAGAAACUUUUUAAUUUAAGUACUUUUUGGAGAAUAGGAAAAUUUUUGAUGCUGCUGUGGGUGUGUGUGUGCUUGUUUCCCAACCCCCCCACCCCCCCCCCCCCCAAAUAAUCUCUUGGCAGAUAGCAGGAACUUUUCCCCUGCCUUUGUGUUUGGAUAAGGGUGGGAGCGUGCUUAGUAUUGUCUGUUACCUUAUGGUUUUUCACUUAUUCGUAACUUGCUUCCUCCCCACCCUGCUGUUGUCAGGAUAUGUUGGAGAGUCACUCUUUAGGAAGAUUACAUGUGGUCUUCUGUUGGAGUAAGAUGAAAAACAAGUGUAUUAGCACUUCACCCUUAAUGAUUUCUCCUGGAAGACAUUGAGCAUCGUUCAUACCUUCCCUUGACUACACUACCACAUGCACUACCUUCUCUGCUUGAUCUCUGAAAAUAUUUGACUCCUGUGAGAUUUGUCAUAGAAAAAUAUAGCCAUUUUUGGUUCUAAGGUUGUCAUAAUAAAUCCAAACUCUGCCAGUAAGAGUCUGAGGAGCUUUUUGCUUUUUGCUGCUAGGUACAUUUCUCAGAAGUAGCCAGCACUAUGACUCUCCCGAGACUCUUAUGUUGUCUCCUUUUUUCAGCUUCUGUGACCUCUUCUAAUGUUCACCCACUCUCCCUAACGGUACGAAAUGCUGCCAGUGGUUGCAGUAACAACUCUUAGAAGGUGGCCUUUCUCUUUUUCCUUUCUUACCUCUCAUUUUCAAUAGUCAAGAAAGGUUAAUUUUCUCAGAAACUUCAAUUUUUACGGAAAUGUUAUUCCUAUUUUAUCUCUGUAGAGAUCUGCUUGCGUGGCAAAAAAAAUAAUUUUCAUUUUAGAAUUGUUCCGUUUUGAUUUUUCUCAGCUGGAGCUAGUGCAUGCACAUUUAAUAAUGUCAGGGAAGCAGGUGGGGGGGGAGGGGGUAAAUGUAGUUUUCUCUCAGAUUAUACUGUUUCUUUAGCUGAAUCGAUCCAUCCAUUAUCUCAUUCACUAGGGGCAAGCAAUUGUGCCCUAUGGUAACAGCCUGAAAGAGUAGACUGUUCUAAGCAUUCUUAGGAUCAUAAUCCUCCUGAUCCUAUACAGUUUAUGGUAAUCAUCCCCAAAAGUUUAUGAAGGGUAAAAUAUACUAAAAUCUACACAUUCAUGAGCUAUGGCCACAGUACCACCUCCCACUAGGAGGAUUGGUGGCCACAGGGACACACUGACUCCUUCAAGAACACCAAAAUACAUGUAAAGAAAGAGAUUGGCACAUUCAGAUCUUGUACAGUUUAAUCCAUUACAGUUUACCAGUCCAGAGUUCAAAAGAUGACCACAGUUCUCAAGCUUUCAGGCUAAUCUGAAUAUGUGAUAAGUGAUAGAAAUUAAUCCCAUUAACCCAUGCCAAUUAGCUACAUGCUCGCAUGGUUCCACCUCCCAUUGGUUGGUGCCACAGUGACUGAAAAGUAGGGUUUUAGAUGUAUCCUGUAAGAAUCCAGGAAUUUCAGUGCUGGACAAAAGUAAUUCCUUAAUGGGGUAUUGACCUUAGGUGGGGAAACAAGUGGCCAGGAUGGCAGGACUAUAUAUAGAAUUGAGGCAAGAUAGUGUGAGGAAUAGAGAAAGAAAAGGCAAACGGGACUGGAAGAGGAGACUUGGUGCAUGGUUGUGAGAGUCUGACAGCUUAGAUGUUCCAGAAAAGUUAGCCCAGAGUUAUGUUUCUGCGAAGGGGGAAGUAGAGUAACAUAGGUCUGAUCACAACAUUCCUUCAGUUGAGCCCUUUGACGACUCCCAUUUAUCAGUGCAGGCUCCCCGUGACCUAGCCCAUCCUAAGUCUCCUGCCUGAUCCACUGCCUAUCCCUGGCAAUCAAAUUUCUGUGACAGCAAACUGCAUCCCAUUGGCCUACGAGUGCGUGCAUUUUAGUAUAAUGGUCACCUGUCAUACUCGUCUGCCCAACAUCUUAUUCUCUUUUUGAGUCCUCUCGAUCUUCUCAUGAAGUACCACCCCAGCCCUGCCCACUCUAUAUGGUUCUAAUAGAGCUACAAAUCCUACAAAAGUCUUCUUGCAACCUUUCCCAUGUCUGGUUAAAAUUAUAUUCUGCUUUGUAUGAGUCCCUAUUAACACAGCUCUAUCCUAGCACUGUCUGUACUAUGGCCAGGCAAUGGGUACAGUGAUUAGCUUGGAGAUAGGCCCAUGACUGAAACUAGACUGAGCAGAGACUUUUCCAUGGGAUCUUAUUUGCUGGCCUUGAAAUGCAGAUAACCUUCUAUGGCUAUUAACUACAAUCCAGUGUGAUAUGAGCAUGGAGCUCUCUGUGGCCAAACUCCACCCCUUCCUCCUGCAACAUAGAUUAUGUCCAUCUGCUAUGGGAGAGAAGGCAGCAUCCACACAUGAGCAGGGCCAAGAGUUCUGGGAGAGCUGAAGCCAGAUUUCCCAGUUACACUUUCCUUGUAUUUGUGUAAACUAUUUUGAGAUGCGUUUCUGUCCCUUGGAAACGGAAGAGUUCAAAUUAAUGAUCACUUGACCAAAAAUAACCUCCACAUCCCUAAUGAAAAUUCUCUCUUUGAGGACAACAUCCUGUGAAGCCUUUCCUCAAUCCCCUGGUUGAAAUUAAUUACUGCUUGUGAGCCCCAUGCUGUAGUCUUUUCAGAUUGCUAUUGCAAAAAUAGCAUAACCUGGAUGCCUUAUAAACAUGUCUCACAGUUCUGGAGGCUAAGAAGUCCAAGACCAUGGCACCAGCAAUUCGGUGUCUGCUUCCUCAUUCACAUGAAGAGGAAGGGGUAAGGACUCUCUGGGAUCUCUUUUAUAAGGGCACUAAUCCCAUUUGAGAGGUCUCCACCCUGUCACCUAACCUCUUCCCAAAGGCCCCACCUCUAAACCCAGCACAUUGGGGAUUAGGUCUCAGCAUAUGAAUUUGGGAGAGACACAUGUUCAGUCCAUAGCACCCCCCUAUUAGCAAUGUAUACCUCAAUAGUUGCACUGGUUUCAUUCUUCCUUGACUUGGAGUUUGUUUAUAUAUCUAUUUUCCUCAUUUGUAAGAUCUUUAAAAGUAGAGAGCAUACCUAAAUCAUCAUUGGACCCUCCAUAGGGCAACACAUAAUAGGUUCUUAAAUUUUUUGAAUGAUAUCUAGACUACUAUGUACCAAGCUCAAUUCUAAGAACUAGGAAUAACUGAAUUUUAAGAUGUGAACAUUCAUGCUUUCAUGGAAUUUGCAUCCUAGUGGGAAAACUAUCUGGCGAAAAUUCAUGGGAAUUGCUGAAUUGGGAAAAACCUUGAGGAAAGGCAAACGCGACCUGGAACCAAGAGGCUCAGACAAAAGGGACCUUGCUUUUUACCACCACCAAAGAAGGCAAAAUGAGCUCUUAGGGCGUGGCAAAGGAGUGGGAAGUAUGUCAGGAUAGAGUUCAAAAUAGAACUUGAGCAUACUUUUUAAAGCUAGUCCAAUUAACCGGCACCAAAUGAAAAUGGCCAGCUAGAUGCGAUUACAGGCACUCCCCAACUUGUGCCCAUGGUAACUCACUGGCAGUUUCCUACGGAGACCAAAAAUUAUUUACUUUUUGCCAUAUACUCUUCCCUAAACAUAACAGUGCAUGUUCACAUCUCUCUACCUUUAUACUUGCCAUCCUUUCACCCUGGAAUGUGUUCUUUUUUCCCAUUUAUGGGACCAUUACCUAUUUUGAAGUCAGUAAUCACUGAAUUCAUGAUUGAGAAAAAACAAAAAUCAAAAAACAGUGCUUUCCCAGUUCCUUCCAGCUGCAGAAUGUUUCUCUCUAAACUAGACAGUAAUUUAUGAUUUACCCUCUCUGCAACUGAAACAUAAUGGAAGGGAAAACAAAGAAAAAAUGGCAUUCGUGAGAAAUGGUAAUCGGGCAAUUAAUUUGUGUGAGAGACUAGAACAUUUUGCUUUAGUGUUUUGUUUAUAAAGAGGGGAGUGUACUCCCAAGUUUCAAAUAAAUAUUAACUUUGGGACUACAACUUUUGGGGGGGAAUGGCUAAGGUUUGUACCCAUAUAUAAGUAUGCCCCAGGGUCAGUCCUUACACAAAACUUUGCCUCUGAUGGUUGGAGCACAUGCACUAAAGAUGACUUAUGUGGGGAAAGGACAGUGGAGGGGAAGGACAGGUCUGGGAGAGAAGCUGGUCCCACAGGUAGUGACAGUGGAAAGUUACUCAGGCAAUGGGAGCAACUGGGGUGUCUUGUCUGGGGGCUCUUGGAGCCAAGUUGGAAAACAAUUGUUUCUGACACAUCAAAGCCUGGGAAUUUUUCUCAACUGGAUCUAUGGUGGUAAACAUUUGCUACCACCACCUGUUUUCAAAGUUUUCUCUGCUCAUUUUUCCCCCUCAACUGUGAAAAAGAUUUGAUAUGUCUACAUACAUAGGUAUGGAAGCCUACAGCUUGCCAAAUUUAUUAAAUCCUCACUUGAGUGGUUUGUAUAUAAAACCACUGUUAACCUGUACCUAGCACUGUCCUAGGAAUAUUAGAUGUAUUCCUUCAUCCCCUCACAAUACCUCUACGAGGUAAACACUGUUGUCAGGCCUUAUUUUCCAACAAGGAAACCAAGGCACAAAGGUUUAGGUAGCCAGUGCCUGGUCACACAGACACAAGAUGAUGGUGGAGCCAUGUUGUAGGGAUCCUUAAGCCUGUGCCCUGCUGCCUCUCCCGGCCUAAUGUGUGAGAAAGUGUUCCAGAUGGGCCUCAGGACCACACUCCACAUACAUAUCCGUAGGAAGAGGCCUGGGAAUUGUGACUCAGUCAGAAUUCUAGCUUACUCCCCUGCCUGUGGUCUCGAUGGCUGGUAAAAAAAAAUAACCACAGUGCUUUCAAGUAGAAUAGAAAUGCGCACAUUUCACGAGAAAAAUAGACCAAGGUGAUCACAUCCUACUUUGCCUCCUUCAGGGCUGUGAGCAGAAAAGGCUGAUGUCUUGACGAAUGGGUUGCUCAGUGAGUAUAAUCUUACCUGUAUUUCUUUCAGUACAUACAACAGCUAAAUAUUCUUGCCUAAGAAUAAAAUCAUCCUGGGAAUGGUCAAUCCACAUACCUUAGGUUUAAGAAGACUGAAAAUAACCUGUAUUAUACUCUGUCAUAAUCAUCCAGGAACCACGUUUUUAAUGGUGUUAAGUCUUUUCCAGAAUUCAGACCCUGAAAUCUUUCAGAAUAAAUAUAAAUACAAAUUAAAUAUAAAGACACACACACACAGGACGUAUAUCAACAAUCCUACUUGACAGGAUUUAGACUGAGCACUUUCUCAGGACCUAGGACCUCCAUAAUGAAUUUGUUCUUCUCCACUUAACUGAGAUUUUUUGAGUCCUGUGACCACAGAAUCUAAUAAUACUUCAUGUAAGUUUCAAGAUCUGGGAGCACAGUCAUGUUUGUAAAAGCAUUCCUCGUAUGACCUGGUUGAGACAAAUUCUAUUAAGGAGAAUCAUAAAAUUUGUAUUAUGUCAUUUCCUAGACUUGUAAAUGCUUUCCUAACUUCAUAUGCCUAAUUUAACAUAACAAUUUCCUUUUGCUGCCCAUUUUGCCUCACAUUUUAUUAAUUUCUCAUGUCUAAAUAGUUAAUAUUUGUAGCCUAAGGUGUGGCCAUUAUAGUGGGAGUAAAAGGCAACUGAUAGAUGACAUCACACCAUCACCAUUCUCUGUUCGGAGAGGUCUAAUCUUGUGAUUUUGGCAACACUCUUCCUGCUUAAAACAAACCGAGGAAUCAUCUAAUUAAACAGCUAUCCCAUUAAUAACUCAUCUUUAUAUUUUCAUUAGCUAGAUUUUACAACCUGUUCUCUGCCUUGAUAAUUAAAUAUUUCAUCAUCCGUAUACCUUUAAGUUCAUUGCUUAAAACUUGCCCCAUGUUUUUGCUUUUAGCCUUUGUCCUACUCUUUGGUAUGUCGCUAAACAAGCUGAGCAUUCAGUAAACUAUGCUCUUCUGAUUCUUGCAUAACACUUCAGAGUACAGUAGUCUUUUUGUUUUGAAGGGACAAGCUAAAGAGUGUUCUCGUUUAUGUUAUGGCAAAUAAUCUCAGAUGUUAUAUAGGUACAUAUGUAUUACUACACAUUUUUAAAAUAUUUUACCUAAGUCAGCUCAUAAUUAUACGUGGCAUUGAGAAGAAAAUGCUGACUGAAACAAAACGGUGAAAAUAAUAGUUUUGGAAAUGUAAUCCAAAAAUACACUCAGAUCUAUGUCAACACGUGCUUGGGUCCUAAGUAAUUCAGUAACUCACGCAGGCUUUUGUCAGCUCUCCCCAUGUUAACUGAGCCAGGGUGAUGGUAGGACGUGCCUGGGAUGCUGCAGAUAAUCCACUGUUUAUCAAGUCUUGGCUGACCUUUAGUAAGUGGCCAUUUGUCAAAGGAGGCAUUAAAGAUAGCUCUUAAAUCCACUUGAUAUUUGUUUAAGAACUUGAAGAUCCUCCAGCUGGAACACCAGUGUGCCCAGGUAUGUAAUGCAAUAUUCAUAAUAGAACAUUCUCUCUCAAGUUCUUUGCCUUCCAUAAUCAAUUCACAAAGUGUCCUUCCUAUUUGCACCCUUGUGCCUGAGCAUCAGUUCAAUAAAGAACUUAUUUACAACUGCAGUACUUCUAAAAAUUGUACUCCACAAAUCCUUGGGCAGACAAAUGCCAUUGAUCCCAAUGUCACAUUCAGGAAGUCACUGAUCCAAGUACCAUAUUCAGCAAAUUCCCAGGCAUGACCAAACUUGCUAGAAAACCAAAAAGGGAAAAUCUGGGAAGUAGGCCAAGAUCCUGGGUGUCAUUGUACAGCAUUCAAGCCAACUCUGGUUUCAAAAUUCCUUUGAAAUUGUUACUCCAUGAUAGGAAUGCAUUCUGUGCUUGGCCACAGAUCAUCACACAAGAAAUACAUUUGCAGAAUAGUUGCUGCACAUUGCUGGCUUUUUGCAAUAGGAAAAUUUCAUCCUUGGUAGAAGAGUAUGUUUUGUUUUUGAGUUUGUGUAAAAUCUGCUGGUGAGGCAUUACCAAAUAGUAGAUACAAAACCAGUUUAGGACUUUUUAUCAUAUGUAAUCUUGGGCUAAUCCUUUAUCUUCUAUCUUCCCUGCUGUUUCCAAAGAUGCUGUGAAGAAUCAAUAAUUGUUAUAAGCAUCAGGAAGACAUGACUGAAAAGAACAAUAAGAAAUGUAAUCUCAAGAGACGAAAUAUGAUUGAAGAAGAAAUCAGUUUUCCUGUCUCAUUGGACAUGAUUGUGUUUAAAGGGGAAUCUUCAUGAUCACAGCAGGAAACUUCCACAUGGACCGCUCAACCCUAAGACCUAUCUUCGCCUCCUGACUGAAGUUCCAAAGUAAAGAAAGGAUUCUUCAAGCAUUCAGACCAACAAGAUCAAGUUAUCUGCAGGGAACGUACUGACCUCAGAACCCAGUGGCAAAAGACAGAAGCAAUGACUAGCGUGUAACCCAAGAAUAUCUUAACAAAAUAAGUUGCCAUUCUAGUAGAUAGGCUUUCCAAAACAUGAAAAGGAGAGGAAACCCAGCACCCAUGAGCCUCUCUCAAAAAACUACUUAACAAUAAUAGGCUGGCAGUUAAGACAAGAAUUAAAAUAAGAAAAAAAGGAACAGAGAAGCCACAUAAAAGACUCUAGGUGAACACCAAAUCCACUUACAUAUAGGCCAGUACAAACUAUUGGACAGUCACUUAUGAGAAUGUUGAGGUCACAAACAUGUCAGUAUAAAAAUAACGUAAAAGUUAGAAGGGAUGUUUAGAUGAGAGUCUUGUGAAAACAUCAUCUUUUAUAGAAAAGGUCAAUCAAUACUAAAAAAAAAAAAAAAGAAAAA